AAAGCAAGUGCGGUGGCAGUGUCAAGGAUGCCUGUGUGUUUGCAGCAGUUUCCUUCCAGAAGCAGCUAGCAGUCUCUUUUAGAUUCUUGUGAAACCUCAUCUGUUCUUCCCUGGACAAAACGUGGUGUUUUCAUUGUGUUAGAUAGGCUAACACUGGAGAAAAUUCAGCAGAUCACAGUGCACAUCUCCAAGUUGCAAUGUGGGGACGGACAGUUCAGACGUGGAACUCUCAGUGUAUUUUUGUCAGCAAUCUCAUAUCCAAAACUCUUGGGAUGAGAUGUAUCCUGU